rnacentral:rRNA from 1 species
GAUGAACGCUGGCGGCGUGCCUAAUACAUGCAAGUCGAGCGAACGGACGAUACGCUUGCUUUUCUGAUGUUUGCGGCGGACGGGUGUGUAACACGUGUAUAACCUACCUAUCAUUCUGGUAUAACUUCGGGAAACCGGCUCUAAUACCGUAUAAUAUUUUGAACCGCUUGGUUCAUAAGUGAACGACGGUCUUUCUGUCUCUUCUAGCUGUUUCCUGGCUUCAUUAGCUAGUUGGUACGGUAACUGCUUACCAAGGCAACGAUGCAUCGCCGACCUGACAGAGGGGUCGGCCACACGGGAACGGAGACAGGGACAAGAGGACUACGGGAGGCAGCAGAAGGGAACGGGCCGCAAUGGGCGAAAGCCUGACGGAGCAACGCGGCGUGAGAGAGGAAGGUCUUGGGAGCGGAAAACUCUGUUAUGAGGGAAGAACAGAUGUGUAAGUAAAUGUGCACAGAUUGACGGUACCUAAUCAGAAAGCAACGGCUAACUACGUG